rnacentral:rRNA from 1 species
GAUGAACGCUGGCGGCGUGCCUAAUACAUGCCAGUCGAGCGAACGGACGAGAAGCUUGCUUCUCUGAUGUUAGCGGCGGACGGGUGAGUAACACGUGGAUAACCUACCUAUAAGACUGGGAUAACUUCGGGAAACCGGAGCUAAUACCGGAUAAUAUUUUGAACCGCAUGGUUCAAAAGUGAAAGACGGUCUUGCUGUCACUUAUAGAUGGAUCCGCGCUGCAUUAGCUAGUUGGUAAGGUAACGGCUUACCAAGGCAACGAUGCAUAGCCGACCUGAGAGGGUGAUCGGCCACACUGGAACUGAGACACGGUCCAGACUCCUACGGGAGGCAGCAGUAGGGAAUCUUCCGCAAUGGGCGAAAGCCUGACGAAGCAACGCCGCGUGAGUGAUGAAGGUCUUCGGAUCGUAAAACUCUGUUAUUAGGGAAGAACAUAUGUGUAAGUAACUGUGCACAUCUUGACGGUACCUAAUCAGAAAGCCACGGCUAACUACGUG